rnacentral:rRNA from 1 species
UACGAAGGGGGCUAGCGUUGUUCGGAGUUACUGGGCGUAAAGGGCGCGUAGGCGGCGCACCAAGUCAGGCGUGAAAGCCCUGGGCUCAACCCGGGAAUUGCGCUUGAGACUGGUGUGCUUGAGUACGGGAGAGGAUAGUGGAAUUCCCAGUGUAGAGGUGAAAUUCGUAGAUAUUGGGAAGAACACCGGUGGCGAAGGCGGCUAUCUGGACCGUAACUGACGCUGAGGCGCGAAAGCG